rnacentral:rRNA from 1 species
AGGGCACCACCAGGAGUGGAGCCUGCGGCUUAAUUUGACUCAACACGGGAAAACUCACCCGGCCCGGACACUGGAAGGAUUGACAGAUUGAGAGCUCUUUCUUGAUUCAGUGGGUGGUGGUGCAUGGCCGUUCUUAGUUGGUGGAGUGAUUUGCCUGGUUAAUUCCGAUAACGAACGAGACUCUAGCCUACUAAAUAGAUCGUCGGCUUACAAACGCCGGCGAGACUUCUUAGAGGGACAGGCGGUGAUUCAACCGCACGAAACAGAGCAAUAACAGGUCUGUGAUGCCCUUAGAUGUCCGGGGCCACACGCGCGCUACACUGAAGUGAUCAGCGUGCUUUUUCAACCUACUCUGUCAAGAGUGGGGAACCCAAUGAACCUUCUUCGUGAUUGGGAUAGGGGAUUGUAAUUAUUCCCCUUGAACGAGGAAUUCCCAGUAAGCGCGAGUCAUAAGCUCGCGUUGAUUACGUCCCUGCCCUUUGUACACACCGCCCGUCGCUACUACCGAUUGAAUGUUUU